rnacentral:rRNA from 1 species
CGGGUGAGUAACGCGUGGGUAACCUGCCCCCGAAUCUGGGAUAACCCCGCGAAAGCGGUGCUAAUACCGGAUAAGACCCCUACCGUUUCGACGGCAGAGGUAAAAGCUGACCUCUCCAUGGAAGUUAGCGUUUGGGGACGGGCCCGCGUCCUAUCAGCUUGUUGGUAGGGUAACGGCCUACCAAGGCAACGACGGGUAGCUGGUCUGAGAGGAUGAUCAGCCACACUGGAACUGGAACACGGUCCAGACUCCUACGGGAGGCAGCAGUGAGGAAUUUUGCGCAAUGGGCGAAAGCCUGACGCAGCAACGCCGCGUGGGUGAAGAAGGCUUUCGGGUCGUAAAGCCCUGUCAGGUGGGAAGAAACCUUCCGGUACUAAUAAUGCCGGAAAUUGACGGUACCACCAAAGGAAGCACCGGCCAACUCCGUGCCAGCAGCCGCGGUAAUACGGAGGGUGCAAGCGUUGUUCGGAAUUAUUGGGCGUAAAGAGCGUGUAGGCGGUUGGGAAAGUCAGAUGUGAAAGCCCUGGGCUCAACCCAGGAAGUGCAUUUGAAACUUCCCAACUUGAGUACGGGAGAGGAAGGGGGAAUUCCCGGUGUAGAGGUGAAAUUCGUAGAUAUCG